GACGAACGCUGGCGGCGUGCCUAAUACAUGCAAGUAGAACGCUGAAGCUUGGUGCUUGCACCGAGCGGAUGAGUUGCGAACGGGUGAGUAACGCGUAGGUAACCUGCCUGGUAGCGGGGGAUAACUAUUGGAAACGAUAGCUAAUACCGCAUAAGAGUAGAUGUUGCAUGACAUUUGCUUAAAAGGUGCAAUUGCAUCACUACCAGAUGGACCUGCGUUGUAUUAGCUAGUUGGUGAGGUAACGGCUCACCAAGGCAACGAUACAUAGCCGACCUGGGAGGGUGAUCGGCCACACUGGGACUGAGACACGGCCCAGACUCCUACGGGAGGCAGCAGUAGGGAAUCUUCGGCAAUGGACGGAAGUCUGACCGAGCAACGCCGCGUGAGUGAAGAAGGUUUUCGGAUCGUAAAGCUCUGUUGUAAGAGAAGAACGAGUGUGAGAGUGGAAAGUUCACACUGUGACGGUAUCUUACCAGAAAGGGACGGCUAACUACGUG
rnacentral:rRNA from 1 species